rnacentral:rRNA from 1 species
AUUGAACGCUGGCGGCAGGCCUAACACAUGCAAGUCGAACGAGUGGCGGACGGGUGAGUAAUGUCUGGGAAACUGCCUGAUGGAGGGGGAUAACUACUGGAAACGGUAGCUAAUACCGCAUACCAUCAGAUGUGCCCAGAUGGGAUUACCUAGUAGGUGGGGUAACGGCUCACCUAGGCGACGAUCCCUAGCUGGUCUGAGAGGAUGACCAGCAACGCUGGAAGUGAGACACGGUCCAGACUACGAGGGGAGGCAGCAGUGGGGAAGAUUGCACAAUGGGAGAAAGCCUGAGGCAGCCAUGCCGCGUGUAUGAAGAAGGCCGUCGGGUUGUAAAGUACUUGCAGCUGGGAGGCGUUACCCGCAGAAGAAGCACCGGCUAACUCCGUGCCAGGCGCCGCGGUAAUUC